UACAGAGGGUGCGAGCGUUGUUCGGAAUUAUUGGGCGUAAAGCGCUCGUAGGCGGUUUGUCGCGUCUGCUGUGAAAACUGGAGGCUCAACCUCCAGCCUGCAGUGGGUACGGGCAAACUAGAGUGCGGUAGGGGAGAUUGGAAUUCCUGGUGUAGCGGUGGAAUGCGCAGAUAUCAGGAGGAACACCGAUGGCGAAGGCAGAUCUCUGGGCCGUAACUGACGCUGAGGAGCGAAAGCGUGGGGAGCGAACAGG
rnacentral:rRNA from 1 species